AGAUUGAACGCUGGCGGCAGGCCUAACACAUGCAAGUCGAGCGGUAGAGAGGUGCUUGCAUCUCUUGAGAGCGGCGGACGGGUGAGUAAUGCCUAGGAAUCUGCCUAGUGGUGGGGGAUAACGUUCGGAAACGGACGCUAAUACCGCAUACGUCCUACGGGAGAAAGCGGGGGACCUUCGGGCCUCGCGCCAUUAGAUGAGCCUAGGUCGGAUUAGCUAGUUGGUGAGGUAAUGGCUCACCAA
rnacentral:rRNA from 1 species